UUUCUCUCUUGUUUGGCUAAUGUAUUACUUCUACUUUUACUACCAGUUGCAAUUGGGCCUCAAACUGAUCUGCUAAGGACUCAAAUAUACUCAAAUAGAAAUCUAGAUACCAUCUAAUAUAAAA